AUACUUACUGGGUAGGAGAUACCGUGAUCAUGAAGGUGGUUCACCCAGGCUGAUGGCCCAGCCACUGCACUUCUCAAGCUGUGUUGACUCAGUGUUAAUUCCCCAAAUGUGUGAAACUGACUGCAUAAUUUGUGGUAGUGGAUCGCGUCCGCCCCUGAUCAU